UGUUUGAAAAGGGCAUGAGGGACAUUCAUCCGGCCUGGCACUGUGCCCUAGACCUGCUCUCCUGGGUAGUGGGGCCCUCCAUUGCAACAGAGGUGUGGGUGGGCCUGGGUGAGUGUGGCAAGAAAUGCCUCGGAGGCUGUACUUGGCCUUAAAGGGCUGUGUGACCUUGGGUAAACUGCCUUCUCUGAAUCUCUGGUCCUUUCCAUUUCCCAUUCUCCAGGCUGAGAACUGCACUCUGAUACACGGUUAUUCCCAAUAAUAAUAAUGUGUGUAUCACACAUAAUGCACUGCACCUCUUCACCAUGCUGGCACCUACUCCUCUGCUCCCCCUGCCAGCUUCCUCAGCCCCUUCUUCUACCCUGAUGGUUCUCUCCUUGCCUCCUCAGGCCAGCACUUCCCAUGAUCUGAGAUGUCUCUUUCCUUUUCACCUUUUUCUCCAGCAGUGAGUUCCUCCUCCUAACUCAGGCUUCCAGGAAGGAUAUCCUCUGCUUCUCAGACCUGAACCUGCCUCGAAUACUCAUGAGGACCCAGGAGCUACUCCUCACCUCCCACUUCUCCUCUGUCCUGUCACAUAACCAAGGCACGGCCAACUGAUCUCCAACCAUCUGAGGAACCAAUGCAGGUGUGGGAACCGCUGAGCAGAACACCCUCC
rnacentral:lncRNA from 1 species